GAUGAACGCUGGCGGCGUGCCUAAUACAUGCAAGUCGAGCGAACAGAUGAGGAGCUUGCUCCUCUGACGUUAGCGGCGGACGGGUGAGUAACACGUGGAUAACCGACCUAUAAGACUGGGAUAACUACGGGAAACCGGAGCUAAUACCGGAUAAUAUAUUGAACCGCAUGGUUCAAUAGUGAAAGACGGUUUUGCUGUCACUUAUAGAUGGACCCGCGCCGCAUUAGCUAGUUGGUAAGGUAACGGCUUACCAAGGCAACGAUGCGUAGCCGACCGGAGAGGUGAGCAGGCACACAGGAAAUUAGACACGGGCCAGAGUCCCAAGGGGGGGCGGCAGUGGGAAAAUUGGCGAAAGGGGGGAAACCCGGACGGAACAAGCCGCGGGGGUGAAGAAAGUUUUUGGUAUGGAAAAACGUUUUUAUUGGGAAAAAACAAAUGGAGAUAUAACUAUGCUCGUUUUGGCUGGACCACAUAAGAAAGCCGGGGCAAACUGCGG
rnacentral:rRNA from 1 species